CCGGAAUUACUGGGCGUAAAGAGCUCGUAGGUGGUUUGUCACGUCGUCUGUGAAAUCCACAGCUUAACUGUGGGCGUGCAGGCGAUACGGGCUGACUUGAGUACUGUAGGGGCAACUGGAAUUCCUGGUGUAGCGGUGGAAUGCGCAGAUAUCAGGAGGAACACCGAUGGCGAAGGCAGGUUACUGGGCAGUUACUGACGCUGAGGAGCGAAAGCAUGGGUAGCAAACAGGAUUAGAUACCCUGGUAGUCAAGGGCG
rnacentral:rRNA from 1 species